UGUCAGAAAGGAUUUGAAUAAAAAACCCUCGUGGAUGCCGCUUUCUGUAUUUGAAGCCCUAAAGGAGUAUUGGAAUUCUGCAGAAUUCAAGGAUAAGUCUGAAAAAGGAAAGAAAAAUAGGGCUUCAGACGUAGGAGUCAAGACAAUUUGGUCGCCCACCUACACAAGCUGAGUUGUUCCUCGCGACACAUAGAAGGAAAGACAAUUCCGGAUUCGUUGAUAGGAGGUCCGAGGAUACUUAUGCUAACUUUCAGACGCGACAACACGAGGCAUCAUCACAGUCAUCGGCUGUUGGCCAUUCAGAAGAUAGUGAAGCUGGCCAGCCUUCGCACCCAGCUAUUGACGAUAGAUCCUUAUGGUUGGAGGUUGCGGGAGGUAAGAAAAAGGGUCGUGUUUAUGGAAUGGGGUCAGAGGCACAUAUAAUCCCCGGUUCUUACUAUGUACUGACACCACAGCCACCGCCACAGCCACCGCCACAGCCAUCGUCGUCCGUCUCACUAUCAGAUCAGAUACAAGAAGCUGUUCGGGUAGCAAUAGAACCCUUCAACCAGCGAAUCUCGGCUAUUGAAGAUAGACUACAUUAUCGUUCUUCAUCUUUGUCACCCCAGAACCCUUCGGAUCAUUAGCAUGAUCUAUUAUUUGUAUGGAUAUGUAAUAUGGA